rnacentral:rRNA from 1 species
UAACCUACGGGGGGCAGCAGUGGGGAAUAUUGCACAAUGGGGGAAACCCUGAUGCAGCGACGCCGCGUGAAGGACGAAGUAUUUCGGUACGUAAACUUCUAUCAGCAGGGAAGAAAAUGACGGUACCUGACCAAGAAGCCCCGGCUAACUACGUGCCAGCAGCCGCGGUAAUACGUAGGGGGCAAGCGUUAUCCGGAUUUACUGGGUGUAAAGGGAGCGUAGACGGCCGUGCAAGUCUGAAGUGAAAUGCCGGGGCUCAACCCCGGAACUGCUUUGGAAACUGUACAGCUAGAGUGCAGGAGGGG